GUACACUCCUGCGGGAGGCAGCAGUGGGGAAUAUUGGACAAUGGGCGCAAGCCUGAUCCAGCCAUGCCGCGUGAGUGAUGAAGGCCCUAGGGUUGUAAAGCUCUUUCACCGGUGAAGAUAAUGACGGUAACCGGAGAAGAAGCCCCGGCUAACUUCGUGCCAGCAGCCGCGGUAAUACGAAGGGGGCUAGCGUUGUUCGGAUUUACUGGGCGUAAAGCGCACGUAGGCGGACUAUUAAGUCAGGGGUGAAAUCCCGGGGCUCAACCCCGGAACUGCCUUUGAUACUGGUAGUCUUGAGUUCGAGAGAGGUGAGUGGAAUUCCGAGUGUAGAGGUGAAAUUCGUAGAUAUUCGGAGGAACACCAGUGGCGAAGGCGGCUCACUGGCUCGAUACUGACGCUGAGGUGCGAAAGCGUGGGGAGCAAACAGGAUUAGAUACCCCAGUAGUCCCAUGAU
rnacentral:rRNA from 1 species